GCCCCUGUUGUCUAAUGGUUAUGACGUCAGACUUCUAAGGCACUGGCCAGUCCCUGACAUCUGGAGGUUGCGGGUUCGAAUCCCGCCAGGGGUU